UACGUAGGGUGCGAGCGUUAAUCGGAAUUACUGGGCGUAAAGCGUGCGCAGGCGGUCUGUUAAGACCGAUGUGAAAUCCCCGGGCUCAACCUGGGAAUGGCAUUUGGGACUGCAAGGCUGGAGUGCGGCAGAGGAGACUGGAAUUCCUGGUGUAGCAGUGAAAUGCGUAGAUAUCAGGAGGAAUACCGAUGGCGAAGGCAGGUCUCUGGGCUGACACUGACGCUCAUGCACGAAAGCGUGGGGAGCAAACAGG
rnacentral:rRNA from 1 species